rnacentral:rRNA from 1 species
UGGGAAUUUUGGACAAUGGGCGAAAGCCUGAUCCAGCAAUGCCGCGUGUGUGAAGAAGGCCUUCGGGUUGUAAAGCACUUUUGUCCGGAAAGAAAUCCUUGGCUCUAAUACAGUCGGGGAUGACGGUACCGGAAGAAUAAGCACCGGCUAACUACGUGCCAGCAGCCGCGGUAAUACGUAGGGUGCAAGCGUUAAUCGGAAUUACUGGGCGUAAAGCGUGCGCAGGCGGUUUGCUAAGACCGAUGUGAAAUCCCCGGGCUCAACCUGGGAACUGCAUUGGUGACUGGCAGGCUAGAGUAUGGCAGAGGGGGGUAGAAUUCCACGUGUAGCAGUGAAAUGCGUAGAGAUGUGGAGGAAUACCGAUGGCGAAGGCAGCCCCCUGGGCAAGUACUGACGCUCAUGCACGAAAAGCGUGGGGGAGCAAACAGGAUUNGAUACCCCUGGUAGUCCACGCCCCUAAANGAUGUCAACUAGUUGUUGGGGAUCAUUUCCUUAGUAACGUAGCUAACGCGUGAAGUUGACCGCCUGGGGAGUACGGUCGCAAGAUUAAAACUCAAAGGAAUUG